rnacentral:rRNA from 1 species
GCUCAACGGUGGAACGGCCAUUGAUACUGCUAGACUUGAAUUAUAAGGAAGUAACUAGAAUAUGUAGUGUAGCGGUGAAAUGCUUAGAUAUUACAUGGAAUACCAAUUGCGAAGGCAGGUUACUACUUAUGGAUUGACGCUGAUGGACGAAAGCGUGGGUAAGCGAACAGGAUUAGAUACCCUGGUAGUCCACGCCGUAAACGAUGGAUACUAGCUGUUGGGGGUAACCUCAGUGGCUAAGCGAAAGUGAUAAGUAUCCCACCUGGGGAGUACGUUCGCAAGAAUGAAACUCAAAGGAAUUGACGGGGGCCCGCACAAGCGGUGGAGCAUGUGGUUUAAUUCGAUGAUACGCGAGGAACCUUACCAAGGCUUAAAUGUAGUUUGACCGUUUUGGAAACAGAACUUUCGCAAGACAAAUUACAAGGUGCUGCAUGGUUGUCGUCAGCUCGUGCCGUGAGGUGUCAGGUUAAGUCCUAUAACGAGCGCAACCCCUGUUGUUAGUUGCCAGCGAGUCAAGUCGGGAACUCUAACAAGACUGCCAGUGCAAACUGUGAGGAAGGUGGGGAUGACGUCAAAUCAUCACGGCCCUUACGCCUUGGGCUACACACGUGCUACAAUGGACGGUACAGAGAGCAGCCACUGGGUGACCAGGAGCGAAUCUACAAAACCGUUCUCAG